UAUGUUAAAUAAAACUUUAACCAAACAUUAACAAAUUAUGAGGAACAAAUUUCUUUAAUUAUUCAGCAAGGCAUACAAAGACCUGUUACUCUGUGGGGAUAUGAUUGUGCUGCUAUUGUUUUCCCAUUAAGCAAAGAUAAAGUGGAAUAUUUAAUGCAGAUGUCUGAGGUUUUUCAAUUAGCCAUGAUUUCUUACACUGGAAAUAUUGAAUUUCAUCCUCCCCAUAGUAAAUUGUGGGAUUGCUUUAAAAAACAAAAAAAAAUUUGAUAAAUACACUAAUUUCUGUUGAUCCAUUACCAUCAACCUUUACUGUGUUUACAGAUGGCCCUAACACCAAGAUGGCUUAUUGGACCAAAGAUUAAUUUUGGGGACAAGAAUCUUCUUUUGGCGGCCUGCAGACAGACGUCAUCCCCUGAAAAUGUCCUAAACAAGGUGCAGGCCAACGAGGAAGAGGAGAGGCUGAAUAGAGAACUGGAGCUAACUACCAAGGAGAGAAAUGAGCUGACAGAUCGCCACCUUUAUGUGACAGGUGGAUCCAUGAGAAAGAGGUAUGCAUUGCUCCAAACAAACGACCUUGUUCUAAACCUCAUCUCCCAUAGAUAGGAGAUUCAGAACAUGACCCUUACUGAGGAGUGAGAUUGAAAAUGGACUCUCUGAUUCUGCCUGUUGAAAAUCUGAACUUGCAAUCUGAGUGAAGAUUUCAGGGAUAAAGUCACUGGAGCAUGAGUUCCCAGUGUACAAUUGGAAAGCCCUUGACAGGUGGUAGUUUUGCAAGGUUCUGGGUGCUGUGAGUUUGUGGAGAGUGUUUGUGCUUGCUAGGAAGGUGACUGAACGCUAUCAUCUCCUGGCAGCAGCCUUAGGUGACAGGUCCCACAGUGUUCAUAUCAAUGCUUAAGUAGAAGGCCUGAGGCUCCGGCCUGCUCCUUCUUGUCUCUGUGCCUUACACUCUGAGACAGUAAUGGUGCAUGCAUUUCUACUGAUUCUCAUUGUGCUCUUUCCAUAUUUGUCUCUCUCAUU
rnacentral:sRNA from 1 species